ACCGAAGAUGAUGGAUCGUCUGGGAUGAUCUCAGUUCCAUGAGGGGUGAGAGGGAUGUCCUCGAUGUCCACCAUGGAAUUGACGGGGACUCGGAACCGGUCCGGAUGGUGUGUUCGAAUUGACGGAGGAGUUUGGAUCUGGGUGAGAGUGUUCAGUCGGGCUAGCAACUCUAGGUUUUGCUUCUCCAACAUCAGCCUACUCUCCUUUUCCUGGGCCAUCUGGUCUAUCAAAGCAUUGAGCUUCGCGUUCAUCUCCACCUGGGCUAGUAGUUCCGACUGGGACGGAGCGUCGGUCGUGUCACGUGAUUCGUUUUGGGUAUUCAUAGUAGAUCUCAACAGUUGCUCGGAAUGCUCGAUUGCUAGGGCCCCACGGUGGGCGCCAAAUUGUUGGGGGUACGUCCAACAACUACGUAUAGGGACGUCGGGGUCGUCCUGGACGGUGGGCACUAGCAACCUGAAACCACAGAUACGUUAGAGCCCUUCUAGGAACACCGGUGGGGGUGUCGAUGGAAGGGCCUCCGACGCUCAAGUCAGUAACAGUACAAGAAAACGUAUUGAAAAGAAUCAAAAUAUACUAAAAAGAACGACUAGAUCGGAUCGAUCGGGUUAGUGGAUCAGAGAGUCGUUCAGCGGUCAGCCGGGGUCGCCGUGGCGUCCUGGAUCAACUGGUCGCUGGGAUCUCCUAGAUUGAGAGCGUGGAGGCGGAGUACUGCGUGUGAGGAGAGAAGGCGGAGAGAAUGCGUUAAGGUGUGAAUGAUUGGAUAGGUCGAGUGACCUAGUUGGUUUUCUUAUAUAGUAUGGUGUCUUGACGGCUAGGGUUUUUCCGGGAUGUCCGUGAAACCCUAGUUGUUCCGAUACUUCCGUGACCGUCUCCUCCACUUGCCUUCUCCUUCAAGUCGUUGCCCCUUGUAGGAUUUGAUGCGAUUGGGCCUCAAUGACUUGGUGUAUGGGCCGAAUUAAUUGGAAUUAACUCGAUUUUUGGACUGGGCUGAUUAUUUGGNUACGUUGAUUGUCCUCUCAUGGUUAGGCGGGUCUGGUGGCGUGUCUUCUCUGUGUUUCUCUUAUCUUUCCUUCCUUGUUGUAGGUGAGCUUGCCUUUCGGUUAGGUAAUCGGUGAGGUGGCCUUGAUUUAGUAGGUGGGCCACUUCCAAUCUGAGGGCGAUGCAGUCCUCUGUUCGAUGUCCAUGGUCGGCAUGGAACUCGCACCACUUGGAUCUAUCUCUCUGGUCGGCUGGUGCCCUCAUCUUUUCCGGCCAUUUGACCUUGUUGCCUAGAUUCCUGAGAGCUGAGACCGCCUCGGUCGGCGAGAUAGAUAAGUUGUAUUCUGGUAUCUUGGCUCUUUCUCGUGGUCGCUUUUCGUAAGGUUGGUCAUACUCUCUCCUUCUGUACUCUUGUCGUGGAGGUGGGUAAGGUUCAGACCGCCUAUCGCUCGUCCUCCUAUCCACCCUGGAGUCUCUUCUAUUGUUUCUGCUUGGUGAAGAUCGGUGGUGACUGUAUUGAUCUUCUUCCCACUUGAUUUGUGCCCAUGCCUUGGCAAGGACGUCCUCCAUUGUUCUACAAGGGUACUUGGUGAGAUCUUUGUAGAGGUCUGAGUCGGGCAGAAGACCCUUUCGGAAGGCGGUGACCGCCGUUUGGGUGUUGCAAUUGGUGAUGGACACCUUCUCUUUGUUGAAUCGGCUGAUGUAGUCCCGGAGAGACUCGCCACGUUGUUGCACCACAGCAUAAAGAUCCUCCGAUAUCUUUUCAAGUUUCCUGCUACUAGCGUAUUGCUGCACAAAUAUAUCUGUUAGUUGAGCAAAACUUGAAAUAGAAUAAUUUGGAAGGUUAGUGUACCACUGGAGGGCCGGUCCUGUCAGACUAGAACCGAACCCCUUACACAUGCAGGCCUGCCUCAAUCCACGAGGAAUUGCGGCAGUGAACAUCCUUUGCUUGUACUGAGCGAUAUGGUCGGUCGGAUCCGUCGUGCCGUCGAACAUUUGCAUGCUCGGGAAGCUAAACUUGAUGGGCAUCUCCACCAAGGCAAUCUCAUCCACGAAUGGGGAGUCGGCAUAGCAGUUCUCUGAGCUUUUGUGGAUAGGUGCCGGGACACCAGGAAUUCGCUGGAUCAACGCCUCCAUUUCGGCCAAUCUUAUGGCCAGGGCCGGGUCCAUGUUCGGAUGGGUACUGGUCGUGCCUUGUUUGCUUGAGUUGAUCUGGAAUGGUUGAUCGGACGUGUUGUUAUCUUGACCGGCUGUAAUCGUUUGCCUUGAGAUUCCGUCUGGCUGACACGUCAGGGUGUUGCGCACGUGAUCACCUUCCAGUUGGCCUGGCGGUACUAUUUGCACUUGGGUAGUGUCGGUCUGACCUAUCGGAAGAGAUCGACCCACCUCUCCUGGCGUUGAGUUGAUCUGGGUUGGGGUUCCCAUUACCGUUGUCCCGGCUAUCCCGGUUGUCCCGGUCGUCCCGGAUGUUCCAGUCGUCUUAGGUAUCCCAGGUGUCUGGUCUAGGACCUGUGUUUCACCUGCAUUCACAAGAGCAAUACCUGUGUUAGGAUGAAUUACCUCAGAUCCAGUGUUUCUUACCGAAGAUGAUGGAUCGUCUGGGAUGAUCUCAGUUCCAUGAGGGGUGAGAGGGAUGUCCUCGAUGUCCACCAUGGAAUUGACGGGGAUUCGGAACCGGUCCGGAUGGUGUGUUCGAAUUGACGGAGGAGUUUGGAUCUGGGUGAGAGUGUUCAGUCGGGCUAGCAACUCUAGGUUUUGCUUCUCCAACAUCAGCCUACUCUCCUUUUCCUGGGCCAUCUGGUCUAUCAAAGCAUUGAGCUUCGCGUUCAUCUCCACCUGGGCUAGUAGUUCCGACUGGGACGGAGCGUCGGUCGCGUCACGUGAUUCGUUUUGGGUAUUCAUAGUAGAUCUCAACAGUUGCUCGGAAUGCUCGAUUGCUAGGGCCCCACGGUGGGCGCCAAAUUGUUGGGGGUACGUCCAACAACUACGUAUAGGGACGUCGGGGUCGUCCUGGACGGUGGGCACUAGCAACCUGAAACCACAGAUACGUUAGAGCCCUUCUAGGAACACCGGUGGGGGUGUCGAUGGAAGGGCCUCCGACGCUCAAGUCAGUAACAGUACAAGAAAACGUAUUGAAAAGAAUCAAAAUAUAUUAAAAAGAACGACUAGAUCGGAUCGAUCGGGUUAGUGGAUCAGAGAGUCGUUCAGCAGUCAGCCGGGGUCGCCGUGGCGUCCUGGAUCAACUGGUCGCUGGGAUCUCCUAGAUUGAGAGCGUGGAGGCGGAGUACUGCGUGUGAGGAGAGAAGGCGG
rnacentral:lncRNA from 1 species